rnacentral:rRNA from 1 species
AACAAGGAUUCCCCUAGUAACGGCGAGUGAAGCGGGAAGAGCUCAAAUUUGAAAUCUGGUAGCCUUCGGUUGCCCGAGUUGUAAUCUAGAGAAGUGUUUUCCGUGCCGGCCCAUGUACAAGUCCCUUGGAACAGGGCGUCAUAGAGGGUGAGAAUCCCGUCCUUGACAUGGACCCCCGGUGCUUUGUGAUACACUUUCAACGAGUCGAGUUGUUUGGGAAUGCAGCUCAAAAUGGGUGGUGAAUUCCAUCUAAAGCUAAAUAUUGGCGAGAGACCGAUAGCGAACAAGUACCGUGAGGGAAAGAUGAAAAGCACUUUGGAAAGAGAGUUAAACAGUACGUGAAAUUGUUGAAAGGGAAACGAUUGAAGUCAGUCAUGCUCUUUGGUAUUUAUAUCAUUGAGUGGGGUCAACAUCAGUUUUGAGCGAUGGAUAAAGGCACUAGGAAGGUAGCACUCUCGGGUGAACUUAUAGCCUAGCGUCAUAUACAUUGUUUGGGACUGAGGAACGCAGCAUGCCUUUAUGGCCGGGAUUCGUCCACGUACAUGCUUAGGAUGUUGA